AAAUGGAUUGAAAAUUUAAAUAUAAAACAUGAGACAAAUGAAAAAAUACAAAGAAUAGAUAAACUCACCUCAUGUUUAUUCACAAACCAUUUAAAAAAAAUAAAUUAAGUCAACUUGAUAGAUGAUUAAUUCGCAAAACAUCUUUUGUUUUAUAUGUUCCAGGAUGUAUAAUAAAUGUACAAAAAAUUAACUACAAUGCAUGAAGAUUGAGCAUGGAUUGUUCAAGAAAAAUGUAUGAAUCGUAACACUUGGAGACAUACUAUACACAUUUUUAGACAUACUAUGCGCACUUGUAGACAUACUAUGUGCACCCCCAAUGCACCUCAGUGCAUCAGGGCACACAGCCACGCCAGAAUAGAAAUCGUUUUUUUCAACAGGGGGAAAAGAUAGACUCCCAGAACUACCAUGUUGCCAUCACUUUUAGAGUCUAUCUUCGUGACGACAAGAGUGGGUGUGUCAGUUGUAGUAAGGUGGCUUCUGUGGGUGUUGGCUGCUCCUAUAAGAUCCGUCCAAUGCAUUUUUUUGCGUUAUUGUUAAACAAGUAUUUCACUUCAAAGCAUUUUACAAUAUGAUAAUUAAAUAACAAUUUUAUGAACAGAAUAUUAAAUAUUCAGAUUCUGUUAGUAAGAAAUGAAUCCAAUUUAGAUUUCAAAAUGACAUUUUCAAACAUUUAACAGAAGAGUUAGAUAACUUAAAGUAAAACUACAUAAUAUUUGUAAAUGAAUAUUUUUGAGUUAAUUUAUAUUUUAUUUAAUAGAAUAUUUCUUUUAAAAUUUUAUUUAUAUGUUAUUGUUUGAUUUGUAAUUUGCAGAAAAAUUUUUUCGAAGUUUUUCAUUAUCAUGCAAAGUUUACCACAUUUUUUUCAAAGCUGCUAUGCCUAAGAUUUUCAAAUCUUUCAUGAAGUAGGAACAUGACAUAUAAUAAACAAUUGUUAUACAGCUGUUUCAAACAGAAGUGAGCGAUUCUAUAUAAUUAAGGUUAAAUUAAUUAUGUUUAAUAAUAAAAUUUUGUUGUUCAUGCUAAUAAAAGUGUCGAAUAAUUUGAGGGGCAGAUUAUUUUUUAGUUAUAUGAGUCAGUUUUUCUUUCACAGGGUGGCCACUCACUCUGGAAACCGGGAAUUCUCAGGGAAUUUUGAAAUACCAUUAGAAAACCGGGAAUUCUCAGGGAAUUUCACGUUGAUUCUGGAAAAUAAUUUUGUUGCGCAUUGCUGCUCUUUUCUUCCCAUUCCGUUAUGUUUAGUUUUUCGGAGCGAAACGCGUCUGCUGCAUCGCGAUCAAGCAUCACGUGAUUAUCCUCCACUGAACGCUUCGUGUCCUUGUGCCUCUUUGUGGAUGUUGGAACUGAAGAACAAGAAUCAGUAAGAAAAUCGGAGCAGUGUUCAAAGGAAGUUCGUUCUGGAAUGAUAUUGGUGGCUUGAAACGAUGGCGCCUGGUUUUAAAACAUCAUUUAAGACAGAAUGGAUGGAAAUUCCUCAUUAUGCCCCAUGGUUACGUGAGUGCCUGGCUGUCAAAUUUUCUGCAGUGUGUAAAUUAUGUAAUUCUGUAUCUUCCCUGAGCAAUAUGGGAAAACAAGCACUAACUAGUCAUCAGAAAUCCAGGAAACACAAAAAAGCCAUUAUUAGCAGAAAUAUGUUUGAUGACUUAAGGAGUGCAUUUGGUGAACAAGAUUCUACUACCAAAAACCUUGUAUUAAAUUCUCUAAAUGAGCUAACUAAAAAGGAUGCAACAUUAGUUUCUUUUCUGAGAUCAGAAAGUGUAUCAGAAGCAGAUAUCUUGUGGUGUUUGUAUGCAGUGAUGGAACACUCUUCUUUUCGUUCUGCGGGUCGGGCAGUACUUUAAAUGAAAAAAAUGUUUACUGAUAGUGAGAUAGUGAAAAAAAUAUCUCUACAAAGAACCAAAAUAACAUACACCUGUGUUCAUGGUAUUGCUCCAUAUUAUAGGGAGCAAUUGCAAAAAAACCAUAGCUAGCUGUGAUUAUUUAGUUAUGGGCUUUGAUGAAAGUCUAAAUAAAAUCGCUCAGAAACAACAAAUGGAUGUAAGUGUUCGACUUUGGAAUAAAGAUACAAAUAAAGUCCAGACACGAUAUUUGACAUCAGUAUUUCUUGGUCAUUCGACAGCAAAGGAUUUGUUGGAUUAUUUCAAAGAAGCCCUUGCCCAAUUUUCCAUCAAUAAAAAUUAAAUAAUUCAAAUAUCUAUGGAUGGACCUAAUGUCAACCAUAAAUUUCUUAAUGAUCUUAAAAAAGAACUUGAGUAAAUGCCGCAAGAUCCUGUGCUGUUAGAUAUAGGUAGCUGUGGACUGCAUACAGUCCAUUGUGGAUUUAAACAUGCAAUAAAGUCUACAGGGUGGAAUGUAGUGGACUUUUUACAGUCGCUAUACUACAUUUUUAAAGAUGUAGCAUCACAUAGAGCUGAUUUUAUAUAUUUCACUGGAUGUGAAAAAUUUCCAAAGAAAUUUUGUGCAAUCCAAUGGGUUCAAAAUGUAGAAGUUGCUGAGAGGGCAUUAGAAAUGUUGCCUCAUAUUUUCAAAUUUGUAAAAGCAGCAAAGGAGAAAAAAAUCUAUGUUGUCUCAAAAAAUUUCAGUGUACUCUCGGAGUGUAUCAAAGACAGUUUCUUUGCUGCAAAAUUGGCAUUUUUCCAGUCAUUAGCUGCUUUUAUUGAACCAUUUCUCACAGAAUUUCAGAGUGAUGCUCCAUUAGCUCCUUUACUUUUCUCUAAUUUAACAUCAAUUUUUAGAUCUCUUCUUGAUAAAUUUGUAAAACCCGAUAUUUUAGUGGAGAACUCUUCAAAAUUAGGAAAAAUAGAUUUGUCACUGGUUGCAGUUUUCAGUUAAGGAUGAAAUAAGGAAAAUAAAAGAUUCUUCACCUUCUGAAGAAUUUUCAUUUAAGAAAGAAUGUGCAAUUGCUUAUAAAAAAUUCUGUGAAAAGAUUUUAGAAAGAUCACCUUUAAAAUUUCAGUUAACAAGGGGGCUAUCUUGUCUUGAUCCUGGUGUAAUUUUAAAUACAGCAAUUGCUGAAAAACGGCUUUCAUCUUGCCUUUCAAUGUUGGUAUCUAGCAAGUGGAUAUCAGGUAUCAAGGCUGACAGUGUGAAAGAUAGUUACAAAACGUUCAUUCGGAAUCCUAUAGUUAAGAAAGAAAUGGAGCAAUUUGAGAAGAGGGAAAAACGACUGGAUAAUGUUUUCUUCUCUCUAUUUGAAGUUUGCAAUGCACCAGAAAAUGUACGUUCCUUUGUUAAGUUUUUCCUCAUAUUGUCACACGAAAGUGCUUUUAUAGAAAGGGGCUUUUCUAUUAAUUCAGAUUGUUUAAUAGAAAAUCAACAUGAAGAUAGUUUAGUUGCUCUAAAGCAAAUUCAUGAUGGUGGUGUUGACAAUAUAACUGUGACGAAAUCCAUGAUAAACUACGGAAAACAGUCUCACACACGUUAUAUCGAA